rnacentral:miRNA from 1 species
AAAACGUCUUAUAAUUUGGAG